rnacentral:rRNA from 1 species
AGAGUUUGAUCCUGGCUCAGAUUAAACGCUGGCGGCAUGCCUUACACAUGCAAGUCGAACGGCAGCACGGGGGCAACCCUGGUGGCGAGUGGCGGACGGGUGAGUAAAGCAUCGGAACGUAUCCUGGAGUGGGGGAUAACGUAGCGAAAGUUACGCUAAUACCGCAUAUUCUGUGAGCAGGAAAGCAGGGGGAUCGCAAGACCUUGCGCUCUGGGAGCGGCCGACGUCGGAUUAGCUAGUUGGUGGGGUAAAGGCCUACCAAGGCGACGAUCCGUAGCGGGUCUGAGAGGAUGAUCCGCCACACUGGGACUGAGACACGGCCCAGACUCCUACGGGAGGCAGCAGUGGGGAAUUUUGGACAAUGGGCGGAAGCCUGAUCCAGCCAUGCCGCGUGAGUGAAGAAGGCCUUCGGGUUGUAAAGCUCUUUCGGCGGGGAAGAAAUUGCACGGGUUAAUACCCUGUGUAGAUGACGGUACCCGAAUAAGAAGCACCGGCUAACUACGUG